rnacentral:snoRNA from 1 species
GGCCUCCUGGUUCUUACACUGACAAUACAGAAAGGAGGAAAAGUAAAUCCAUCCCGUAUACACCUCACUCCAGGCCCUGUGCCUGAUCUGUAUUGUGAAUGGGAAGACAUGG